GCAAAGGUAGCAUAAUAAUUUGCCUCUUAAUUAGAGGCUAGAAUGAAUGGACUUUCUUUGCCUAACUGUCUCAAAUCUACUAACAAAACCUUUUAUUCAAGUGAAGAAACUUAAAUUCCACAGCAGGACCAAAAGACCCUAUAGAGCUUUACAAAAGAAAGAAAACAAAAAUUCCUAACUCUGUUUCAUUGGGGCGAUGAAAGAACCUACCUUCUUAACCUACUUUGAGCAACCUCUCCCCUACCUAUGCCUAAUUUAGGGUCCAAGAAAAAGCUACCUUAGGGAUAACAGUCUAAUUUCCCUCAAUAGCUCACAUUUACAGGGAAGAUUGGCAC
rnacentral:rRNA from 1 species